UGUUAAAUUCCUGUUAAACUUGGGAUUGCAACCAUGGGUUUAUCUUGAAACUUUUAUUUUGAAAAUCCACAGCGGAAGUCUGCUACUGGUAAACUGGUUUUCCCUAAGCUUAUCCCGUUAGUAGCAAGGAAGCUUUUGCUGUGUUUGGGCGGAAUGCUGUUGCCUGAAACCCAUGGUUAUUCAUAUCCCAUGUUAUUGCAGAGACCCACAAGAGGGGAAUAAACCACAUCUGAGCUCUACCCAUCUCGAGUCCAGAGAGUUUUAC